rnacentral:misc_RNA from 1 species
GUGAAUCAUCGAAUCUUUGAACGCACCUUGCGCUCUAUGGCAAUCCGUAGAGCAUGCCUGUUUGAGUGCCAUGAAAUCUCCCACCCCAAGCGGUUUUUGAAUGAAACGGCUUGGCGGAUGGGGUCUGGAUGGGUGCCUCUGCCUGUGCUAACCUUUUAGCCCACAGGCUCGCCCGAAAUGCAUGAGCGCCUUGGGACACUUUGCAUCCGCCUCUCUUGUGGGAGGAGGCGGCCAAGCAGUGUUUUUCUCCAGGCAUGGCAUGAUACGUCAUUUGCUAUGUCGCCCAAUGGAGGAAUGUUU